rnacentral:rRNA from 1 species
UACGUAGGGGGCAAGCGUUGUCCGGAUUUAUUGGGCGUAAAGAGCGUGUAGGCGGUUCGGUAGGUCCGUUGUGAAAACUCGAGGCUCAACCUCGAGACGCCGAUGGAAACCAUCGAACUAGAGUCCGGAAGAGGAGAGUGGAAUUCCUGGUGUAGCGGUGAAAUGCGCAGAUAUCAGGAAGAACACCCGUGGCUAAGGCGGCUCACUGGCCCGGUACUGACGCUGAGGUGCGAAAGCGUGGGGAGCAAACAGG